AUUGAACGCUAGCGGGAUGCUUUACACAUGCAAGUCGAACGAGUGGCGGACGGGUGAGUAAUAUAUGGGGAUCUGCCCGAUAGAGGGGGAUAACUACUGGAAACGGUAGCUAAUACCGCAUACUAUCGGAUGAACCCAUAUGGGAUUAGCUAGUAGGUGGGGUAACGGCUCACCUAGGCGACGAUCCCUAGCUGGUCUGAGAGGAUGAUCAGCCACACUGGGACUGAGACACGGUCCAGACUCCUACGGGAGGCAGCAGUGGGGAAUAUUGCACAAUGGGCGAAAGCCUGAUCCAGCCAUGCCGCGUGUAUGAAGAAGGCCUUCGGGUUGUAAAGUACUUUCGGCGAGGAAGCGGUACCAGCAGAAUAAGCACCGGCUAACUACGUGCCAGCAGCCGCGGUAAUAC
rnacentral:rRNA from 1 species